rnacentral:rRNA from 1 species
GACGAACGCUGGCGGCGUGCUUAACACAUGCAAGUCGAACGGAGCGCCAUGGAAUGAGGUUUCGGCCAAAGGAAAUGGUUGCUUAGUGGCGGACUGGUGAGUAACGCGUGAGGAACCUGCCUUUCAGAGGGGGACAACAGUUGGAAACGACUGCUAAUACCGAAUACGCUUGGGAGACCGCAUGAUCUACCAAGGAAAGGGUGGCCUCUACCUGUAAGCUAUCGCCUGAAGAGGGGUUUGCGUCUGAUUAGGCAGUUGGUGAGGUAACGGCCCACCAAACCUACGAUCAGUAGCCGGUCUGAGAGGAUGAACGGCCACACUGGAACUGAGACACGGUCCAGACUCCUACGGGAGGCAGCAGUGGGGAAUCUUCCGCAAUGGGCGAAAGCCUGACGGAGCAACGCCGCGUGAGUGAUGACGGCCUCGGGUUG